AGAGAGAUGUAAUAUUGCAUUUGGAUACUACAGUAGUCAGCAAGGCACAGAAUAGUGUCACUGCGAGAAGCUUUGUGAUGAAGGAGGAAUUUGAGAGAUGUUCUACAAAUUGACUGCAUCAUCUACUUGAUUUUUAAGAUACCUCCUCUCCAUUCAGCAGGGGUUUGUGCUGAGCACGGGUAAAUCUGUGGAAUGCUUUCAUCUAUUAUUAAUAAUUUGGACUUACCAGGAGGCAGAAGGAUCGAGCUUGAAAAUAUCUUGAGUGAGGUAACUCAGUCCCAUGGAGUGCAUGGGACUGGACACUUGAACCUUGUUAUGUUGCCCGAGAUUGGAAGAUAAAUAUUGAAGACACUCCAAUGACUUUAGGCUAACGUUCCAGAAUCCAUGUUUUUGAAUAUUAUGCCCACUCUUGUAAUUCUUUAACAUCCUCACAGUGGAGAUGGAAUAAGGAGGCAAAGUAUCUUGUGGAUAAUCAGCUAAGAAGCCAACUGAACAGGUGGUAAUGAAAGAUGCUGUUAAUGAGAACAUGGAAUAUUCCAGGAGAGAAUGGAGAGAAGGGAAAGAAAGGGUAGGAAUGUGGCUCCAUCUUGGUCCAAUUCCCACACAUGGAGUUUUGAAAGUUUGUAAUCGGGAAGCUGGAGAUAAAGGAAAAAACAACAACAACAACAAAAACGUGUACAGAUCAUACCCUUGCUAAGAGCUGGAUCUACUGUGAGAAAAGUUGAAGAGAGAUGGGUAUGAAGUCCAUCAUGGCCCUGGAAUAUCCUCCCUGUUAUUGUUAAUGGCUUCUUGAUGAUCAGAGACAACACAAGUCAGAGGGACGAAGAUGUGGCUAAUGUCUCAGCAAAAUGGAUUUUCUGUGCUUAACAGAGGAAGGGAGAUUUCUGAAUUUCUGCAAUGUGAAAAGGAAAUAUGUGUUUGCUGUCUCCUAAGAAUUAAGAAGCUGGGGUCACGGGAUGCUGAUUCAUAGGAUCAUGAAAAGGAAUCCUGAAGCUUCUAGUCUUUCCAGUCUUGUUCAGGGAAGCUAAGAGGUGGACAGAGAGAGGUCAAAGAACGGAGAACAAAAGAUUGUGUACUCAUCCUUAAACCAUUCAUCUUUCUCAACCACUGCCCCCUUCCAUUACCAAGCCUCUGGAAACAUCCUAAAACAGGAACAGAGAUAAGCCAGGACCAGAUGAUCAAGAGGAGUGUUAUGAAAGGAAACACACAUUGAGUGUGUUAAUAUGAACUUGAAAGUAUCCCUGCCAUUGAGAAGUGGAAAAAAAAAAAGACACACACUGAUAUUCCUUUGCACCAGAUCUAAUAUGAUGGACAUAGGUUAGGGAAGUGAUUACUUAAGUGCAUUUAAUUAUUACUGCAAUUACUCAGCAGAAGAACAAACUGAAAGUGUUGUUGAGUACAUGGAGAGACAAAAAUCGAGCUGGAAACUGUCCCUGAUGCAGGAAGAAGAGGAGACAGUGGCUAGGUCAAAGCGAGUGGAGAAGAUUUAGUGUCACUGAAAUCAAGAUAGAAGAAUUGCGAGGAAGGAGAACUGAGCUAUUUGGAUAGUUGAUGGGGGGUUGUUUUCGAUGUCAACCACAAAGAAGGCACAUUGGAGUUGUGGUAGUGAUUGAUGGUUUUCUGGUACAAGCUCAGUAGAGAAAAAAAAUUACUGGCCAACUGAAAGCAUUCUUUCUACAUUUUGAUACUGAAAAUAAACGGUGCUUGUGACUUCAUAUGAAGUAAAGAGCUCUUUUCAAAACUGGCCAGCAUCAAAUCAUGAAACGAAGCAACCAGAAUGCAAGAUCCUGUCUUUCUAUCACACAACUAGCAUUCUGAAUGCAAGAGCCACCAACUCUUCCCCUCCUUCCAGACGACAAUCUUUUGAGGAGCAAGUGGUGAGCAACAGAAGGGGUCAUGUACUUUCAUGAACAUUACGAUCACGUUAACAGUCACAACAUUCCAUAGAGCAUACCUGAAGUAUGGAUUAAGAGAAUUACAUCAUUAAACAUAGAUGAACAAAAGAAAUAAUGAAAUGGGAACUAAUCCAAAUUCAAAUCAGGUCAGCUGAAGGAAUGAGUUUUA
rnacentral:lncRNA from 1 species